rnacentral:rRNA from 1 species
GACGAACGCUGGCGGCGUGCUUAACACAUGCAAGUCGAACGGAAAGGCCCUGCUUUUGUGGGGUGCUCGAGUGGCGAACGGGUGAGUAACACGCGAGUAACCUGCCCCUGACUUUGGGAUAACUUCACGAAACUGCGGCUAAUACCGGAUAGGAGCUCCUGCUGCACGUGGGUGGUUGGAAAGUUUCGGCUGUUGGGGAUGGACUAGCGGCUUAUCAGCUUGUUUGUGGGGUAGUGGCUUACCAAGGCUUUGACGGGUAGCCGGCCUGAGAGGGUGACCGGCCACAUGGGGACUGAGAGACGGCGCAGACUCCUAUGGGAGGCAGAAGUGGGGAAUAUUGCAGAAUGGGGGGGAGUCUGAUGCAGCGACGCCGCGUGCGGGAUGACGGCUUUCGGGUUGUAAACCGCUGUCGCCUGUGACGAGGCGUGAGUGACGGUAAUGGGUAAAGAAGCAACGGCUAACUACGUG